rnacentral:rRNA from 1 species
UGCAGCCUGCAACUCGGCUGCAUGAAGCCGGAAUCGCUAGUAAUCGCGGAUCAGAACGCCGCGGUGAAUACGUUCCCGGGUCUUGUACACACCGCCCGUCACACCAUGAGAGUCUGUAACACCCAAAGCCGGUGGGAUAACCUUUAUAGGAGUCAGCCGUCUAAGGUAGGACAGAUGAUUAGGGUGAAGUCGUAACAAGGUAAC